rnacentral:rRNA from 1 species
AAAGCGUCCGUAGCCGGUUUAAUAAGUCUCUGGUGAAUCCUGCAGCUUAACUGUGGGAAUUGCUGGAGAUACUAUUAGACUUGAGACCGGGAGAGGUUAGAGGUACUCCCAGGGUAGAGGUGAAAUUCUGUAAUCCUGGGAGGACCGCCUGUUGCGAAGGCGUCUAACUGGAACGGUUCUGACGGUGAGGGACGAAAGUUAGGGGCGCGAACCGGAUUAGAUACCCGGGUAGUCCUAACUGUAAACGAUGCGGACUUGGUGUUGGGGUGGCUUUGAGCUGCUUCAGUGCCGAAGGGAAGCUGUUAAGUCCGCCGCCUGGGAAGUACGGUC